rnacentral:rRNA from 1 species
GAUGAACGCUAGCGGCAGGCCUAACACAUGCAAGUCGAGGGGCAGCACAUAAAGUGGUUUACUACUUUUGGUGGCGACCGGCGGACGGGUGCGUAACGCGUAUGCAACCUGCCUCCAACAGGGGGAUAACGGAGAGAAAUUUCCACUAAUACCCCAUAAUAUCAGAAUCGGCAUCGGUUUUGGUUGAAAACUCCGGUGGUUGGAGAUGGGCAUGCGUUGUAUUAGAUAGUUGGUGAGGUAACGGCUCACCAAGUCAACGAUACAUAGGGGGACUGAGAGGCUAGCCCCCCACACUGGUACUGAGACACGGACCAGACUCCGACGGGAGGCAGCAGUGAGGAAUAUUGGUCAAUGGGGGCAACCCUGAACCAGCCAUGCCGCGUGCAGGAAGACGGCUCUAUGAGUUGUAAACUGCUUUUACAAGGGGAUAAAUCGGUGUACGUGUACACCGUUGAAGGUACCUUGGGAAUAAGGAUCGGCUAACUCCGUGCCAGCCGCCGCAGUAA